rnacentral:rRNA from 1 species
GACGAACGCUGGCGGCGUGCUUAACACAUGCAAGUCGAGCGAGGCCCCUCCUUCGGGAGGGUGUCCUAGCGGCGAACGGGUGAGUAACACGUGGGCAACCUGCCCCCGGCUCUGGGAUAACUCCAAGAAAUUGGGGCUAAUACCGGAUAUGACCGCUGACCGCAUGGACUGGUGGUGGAACGAGUGAUCGGCUGGGGAUGGGCGCGCGGCCUAUCAGCUUGUUGGUGGGGUAGUGGCCUACCAAGGCGACGACGGGUAGCCGGCCUGAGAGGGUGACCGGCCACACUGGGACUGGGACACGGCCCAGACUCCUACGGGAGGCAGCAGUGGGGAAUAUUGCGCAAUGGGCGGAAGCCUGACGCAGCGACGCCGCGUGGGGGAUGACGGCCUUCGGGUUGUAAACCUCUUCCAGCAGGGACGAAGCGAAAGUGACGGUACCUGCAGAAGAAGCACCGGCCAACUACGUGCCAGCCGCCGCCGUAA